CCCGAUGUAGCACAAUGAAUAAUGCGUUGGACUUCUAAUCUAGAGGUCGUAAGUUUGAAUCCUACCUGGGA